rnacentral:rRNA from 1 species
GUGGGGAAUCUUAGACAAUGGGGGAAACCCUGAUCUAGCCAUGUCGCGUGAGCGAUGAAGGCCUUAGGGUUGUAAAGCUCUUUCAGCUGGGAAGAUAAUGACGGUACCAGCAGAAGAAGCCCCGGCUAACUUCGUGCCAGCAGCCGCGGUAAUACGAAGGGGGCUAGCGUUGUUCGGAAUUACUGGGCGUAAAGCGCACGUAGGCGGACAUUCAAGUCAGGGGUGAAAUCCCGGGGCUCAACCCCGGAACUGCCUUUGAUACUGGGUGUCUGGAGUAUGGAAGAGGUAAGUGGAAUUCCGAGUGUAGAGGUGAAAUUCGUAGAUAUUCGGAGGAACACCAGUGGCGAAGGCGGCUUACUGGUCCAUUACUGACGCUGAGGUGCGAAAGCGUGGGGAGCAAACAGGAUUAGAUACCCCGGUAGUCC